AUUUUAGGCAAUUAGUGUGCCCCGCAUUGUUAUUAGUACGUUUCCGGUUCUGUGAGCAUGGUCGCUUGAGUUUGGUAGAUGUUUCGGUGCCACGAUCUUUUUAACAUUUCCAUUAGACACAAUAAACUGGUCUGCCAGAACCCUGGUGUUUUUUGAACUGUCUAAUCUGGGUUUAGCUUGGCUGCGCCUGGGCAGCUACAGACAUGACAGAAGAACAAGUGGAACAAUUCUGCAAGCUGAUGUCAGAACCUGGAGACAUUGAUAAUGCCAGAGACACACUACAUCAGAAGGAAAAGGAAUGAAUGUUAAAGAUGUGGCAUGACCACUCAGAUAUAUUGAAUCACUUUUAUGUAAGUUUUAUGUCAUGCUUUCUCUAUCACCCUAUCAACUUUCUUACAGAUGAAGAAUUCAAACAAAGAAAUCCAGAAAAGAAAAAAAAUUGACGUGCAGUCAUUCAUUGAGAGACCACAACUCUACAUUUUUGGAUUAUCUGGGGAGGAAUGGGAAAGGAAGACGAUGCAUUUCGGAAAUGGUUUCGGCAUUUAGGAGAGUUGCGGUCAAUGUUUCCGAAUGCAGUAUUUUUAGCUUUAAGCGCAACCUGCACAAAAACAAUCGAGAAAAGAGUGCUUAAUGUAUUGGGAAUUGAUAAGAAAAAUGUGAAAUUUUUUAGAUUGUCACCAAAUAAAGAAAACAUUAAAUUUGUUGUAAAAAAGGUGCCAAAUUCUGUAGGAGCGGCUAUGUUUUGGCUUAUGGAAACUUUGAACAACCUUAAAGAAAAAUUUCCAAGGACUGUAAUUUAUUGCAACUCUAUCAAGGAUGUUUCAACCAUUUAUAACUUUUUAACAAGUGAAAUCCCUGAUAGCUUAAACUAUGUUCAAAUGUAUCAUUCAGAAACACCAUCAGACUGCAAAUCAGAAAUAAUAGACAAACUUGGAAAUGACAGUUCUCUUAGGAUAGUACUAGCCACAAGUGCCCUUGGUAUGGAAAUUGAUGUUAAAUUCUGCAACAGCGUCAUAAUUUACGGACCUCCUGUAAAUGUUGCUGAUCUUAUUCAAGAGACGGGGCGAAUAGGUCGAGAUGGGCUACCAUCUGUGGCAGAUGUACUGUAUAAUUCAUACCAGUGUAAACAAUUAGAUACAGAAGUUAAGACCUUUUUACGAAGAGAUGUGUGCAGACGACAAACGCUUAUGGAGAAUUUUCAUACCAGUGCUGAAAUGGAAACAGUAAAGAAGUCUUUAAAUCAGCACCACUGCUGUGAUAUUUGUGCAGAAUUGUGUACUUGUGGACAUUGUAUUUUAUUACCAAUUGAAAAACUUAUGAAUUGUGUCGCAUCAGAAGAUACAGCCAAAGAUAAAUACAGCAGUAGCAACAGUGAAACUAUUUCAUACUUUCAUGAAUCUGAUCAGUUUUCAUGUCUUUCAGACAAUGAAGAUCAAUAAAUUUAUUUUGACAAUUUU
rnacentral:misc_RNA from 1 species